UACGGGGGGGGCAAGCGUUGUUCGGAAUUACUGGGCGUAAAGGGCGCGUAGGCGGCCAUCUAAGUCGGACGUGAAAUCCCUCGGCUUAACCGAGGAACUGCGUCCGAUACUGGAAAGCUCGAGUCCGGGAGAGGUGAGUGGAACUGCGAGUGUAGAGGUGAAAUUCGUAGAUAUUCGCAAGAACACCAGUGGCGAAGGCGGCUCACUGGCCCGGUACUGACGCUGAGGUGCGAAAGCGUGGGGAGCAAACAGG
rnacentral:rRNA from 1 species